rnacentral:tmRNA from 1 species
GGGGCUGACCGGUUUUGACAGCAUAGUUCUUUGUAAGUAUAAGCAUGUAGUGCGUUGCGUAAUUAGCACUUAAAUAUGAAUACGAAAACUUCAAAUGGCAAUACUCAGUAUGCCAUGGCUGCUUAAUCGAUAGAUUAGCAUCCAUUAGGGCCGUUGAGCUGGCCAGGCCUGUUGCCACGCUCUUCCGCCGACUCAAAAUAAAACGGGCUGCUGCAAUUGAAGGCUGUGACAAUUGCUUAAGACGAUACAGCUACGGAAAAGGUUGGUUUGUUUUGCCCCGGCUUUUUCCCGACAAAUAAUGCAUCACUAAACAUGUAGAAGGCUUACGGCGGAUGUGUUUGGACCAGGGUUCGACUCCCUGCAGCUCCACCA